UUGGGGAAUCUUCCGCAAUGGACGAAAGUCUGACGGAGCAACGCCGCGUGGGUGAAGAAAUCCUUCGGGAUGUAAAGCCCUGUUGUAUGGGAAGAGCGGAAGACGGUACCAUACGAGGAAGCCACGGCUAACUACGUGCCAGUAGCCGCGGUAAUACGUAGGUGGCAAGCGUUGUCCGGAAUUAUUGGGCGUAAAGCGCGCGCAGGCGGGAUAUCAAGUCUGUCUUAAAAGUGCGAGGCUCAACCUCGUGAGGGGACAGAAACUGGUAUUCUUGAGUGUCGGAGAGGAAAGUGGAAUUCCAAGUGUAGCGGUGAAAUGCGUAGAGAUUUGGAAGAACACCAGUGGCGAAGGCGACUUUCUGGACGAUGUCUGACGCUGAGGCGCGAAAGCUAGGGGAGCGAACGGGAUUAGAUACCCCAGUAGUCC
rnacentral:rRNA from 1 species